rnacentral:misc_RNA from 1 species
GAAAUGCGAUAAGUAAUGUGAAUUGCAGAAUUCCGUGAAUCAUCGAAUCUUUGAACGCACAUUGCGCCCUCUGGUAUUCCGGGGGGCAUGCCUGUCCGAGCGUCAUUGCGAACCCCUCAAGCACGGCUUGUGUGAUGGGCCCUCCCGCGUCUUGGUCGUCAAGACGGGCCCGAGAUGCAGUGGCGGCUUCGCGGUUAUCCGAUCAGCCAGAGCGUAUGGGGACUUUCUCUCUGUCACACGCCCGCGGCGCGGACCGACGCCUGUCGACCUUUAUUCAUCUUUUUCUCGGUUGACCUCGGAUCAGGUAGGGAUACCCGCUGAACUUAAGC